ensembl:lncRNA
CUUAUUUGAAGAGAAUCCCAGAAACUGAAAGGAGAAAGAAGAAAAAGAAAAGCAACCAUGCACCUGACCCGUAGCUACCCUUUUUCAGGAUGAGAGGCUCACAUCCGGAAUAUCACAGUUGGGGCUUCAUAAGGCACCCCUGCACCCCUGUUUCCUGGAAUCUACUGAGAGAAAAUGGCAGACCAGCCAAGAUAUUUGACUGAGGUUUGUUAAGAAAACAUAUUCUCGGUUUGGGCUGUUUUCUAAGAGGAGGGUCGGAGAGUUGUGGUUUAAGUAAGAAAAUUGUUUGUGGACAGUGAUGGAAAUAAUGACUCUCUUCACUGCCCCGCGUGUCUCUGGCUAUAGUUACAGGAGGCAAAGCGGAACAGUGUCUGCGAAUUACCUGGGGACCGCGGGCAGGGUGGACAACCGAUGGAGAAGGCUAGAGCCAAGAAAACACCAUUAUGCGUCGGUGAUCAGGGUAAUUCCGUAGCUGGAGCAAGCAUUUAUGACUUGGGGAAGGUGGGAAGGCUCUGAUUUCUGGAGCCUGGCUAGACUUUGAGAGGAAAUAAGAGAAUCUACUUCCUCUGAUUUGCUGCCCACACUCCCCAGAGAAGAACGUAGCUCAGGUCUCUGAUGUUUGCCCACAGUGAACCUUGAAGGAUUUAUUUCAUGCUCUUUUAAUAAGGUCAAUCUAUUACCUGUCAACUAAAGUCUAAAUUGUUUGACUUGACCUUGAAGAUGGUUUUGGGCAGCUACAGUUCAUAGCGUAAAAGCAUGAACAGUUUCCAUAGCUCUGAAUUAACCCAAUAAGUAAUGGUAACAAUUCUGAAAUGCACAUCAUUUUAGUUGUUGACCAUCAGAAUUUCUUUUUUCUCCCUGGUGUCUCUUUGCGGUUACACUUUGUGGUGUCAUGUGUCUGCUACCCUCUAUUUAUUUGGAGAAAGAUAACUUAGGGCAUGUUAUGUUUGCUUGUAUAUUUUGGGGUAAAGACUCAAGAAUUCUACCUAACUACUUUCAUUAAUCGGUGGGAGAUGCUAAAUUCCUGGAGAUCAUGAAGCUCAAAUGGUCAGGAUGAGUCAUUCACACAUAGUCACCUGCUCGAUAAUUCAUUCAUCCUCUCAGCCUGUUAACAGGUAUCCUGUACAUGUAGGAUGCCUGGCGCUGGGCUGGGUUCCGGGCAUGGAGAGAUGAGCAAGGCUCCACCCCUGAAUACAAAGAGCUUUCCAGCUACACAGCCAUUCCCUGAACACCAUGGGAAGUCAGAGGAGGGAGUGGUUACUUCUCAGCGAAGUCCCCAGAGAGGCAGAAUAUUGAUGUUGGGCCUGGAAGGAUGGGAAAGACUUUGGCAGGAAGAAAUAAAGGAUUAAGGAGCUCUGGGUAGACGAUUUUCCAAGUAUGAGCAAUCUGAGGGCGCCAGAAUGGAGGAAAAUGGAGUGGCUACCACGGUGGCUGCCUGGAAGACGCAGAAUGGAGUUCCGUGUGGGGAAUGCCUUGAUAGCAAAACACAGAGGAUGUUCAGAAGAGAGGAGUUUGGGCGGGUUUUGGUAGCAGCUGGGAGCCACAGAAAAUGUGUGAGUGGGGGCAGGAAAAAAUAAAGGAUCUGGGGAGAAAGUUCAGUCUGCUGUCAGCAUGAAGAACGGAUUACAGAGGUGGAUUAGAAACGGGGCUCGGAGACAGGAGACGCGGGCUGGAGUAGUGAGCGCAACAGCGGGGCAUGGGCGAGGGAAACAGGAGGUGGCUAGGAGGAAGGUACUCCAGACUAGGAAUCCAAAUGUGUGGGCUUAGUCUCGGCCCUACACUUGGCAGCUGUGCGACCAAGAUUUAAUUUCCUGGCCUCCAGUUCCUCCAGAGUGAGGAGACGAGUCUGAGGGAACCCGAACACCCUCACAGCAGCACCUUCUGUGAGUCUCCUGAGAUGCUGUUGGGAAGAGAGUUUGACUAGCUCAGAGAAGAGAAACUUCUAGAAUGGGAGAUGACCUUGGUGAUGGUGGUUCUGCAACUUCGGUGUAGGUCAAAUCACUUGAGCAGUUUGUCAAGAGGCGGGUCAGCCCAGGACCCAGCUGGGGAAAUGCAGAUGCAGCCUGGGGUUUCUUUUGUCAUUGCACAACACUUUGUGAAACCCUAAUCUCACAUCUGGAGUGUUGUCCGGCCCUCUCAGAUGGGCUGAAUCUGAAGCUAGUGGGGCUGAGUCGGUGUCCAGGCUGAAAGGGACACUGCCUCUCCCCCACCGUCUAGUGAGGGGGUUCCCAACAAGAUGGCGGCCACUUCCCUGUCUCUCCCUUCCCACUUGUCUUGAACCAUCUUCCCAGAACUAGACAUCAGCCUGUUGAGCUCAAAGGAGACCCAAGCUGCCAAGCUGCCAAUUUCAGAGCAGCUGGUUUGAGGUGCCACAGGGCCGGCUGUCCUGGUGCCACCAGCUGGUCGUGCUGGCCAGUCCUCCUCACAGUUAGUCAGCAGGUGGGCUCAGUCAGCGCAGGUCACUUGAUCCUGUGACACUCCCAGGUGCCUUGCCAUCACCCAGCAGCAGCAUCUGGGAGCUUGCUGAAAAUGCAGAAUCUCGGGCUCACCCCAGACCCACGACUCAGAGUCUGUACGUUAACAAGAUCCUGAAGUGGUUUAUUUGUGUGCACACUAAAAUCCGAGAAGCUCUGGUCUCUGCCUCCUCGCUGGCUGUAAACAGUCCUCCCCCACCCCACCCCCAG